rfam:Pan troglodytes isolate Yerkes chimp pedigree #C0471 (Clint) chromosome 12, whole genome shotgun sequence.
GCCAGGCGUGGUGGUGCAUGCCUGUAAUUCCAGCUACUUUGGAGGCUGAGGCAGGGGAAUCACUUGAGCCAAGGAGGCGGAGGUUGCAGUGAGCCGAGAUAGCGCCACUGCACUCCAGCCUGGGCGAUAGAGUGAGACUCUGUCUCAU